rnacentral:rRNA from 1 species
GAUUAAGCCAUGCGAGUCGUGAGUCCUAGGGACUCGGCGUACCGCUCAGUAACACGUGGGUAACCUGCCCUAUGCUGGGGAAUAACCUCGGGAAACUGAGAAUAAUGCCCCAUAGUUCACCACACCUGGAACGGUGGGUGGAUGAAAGCUCCGGCGGCAUAGGAUGGGCCUGCGGCGUAUCAGGUUGUAGGGGGUGUAAUGUACCCUCUAGCCAUCUACGCGUACGGGUGUUGAGAGACAUCGCCCGGAGAUGGAUUCUGAGACACGAAUCCAGACCCUACGGGGUGCAGCAGGCGCGAAAACUUGGCAAUGCGAGCAAUCGUGACCAGGGAACUCCAAGUGCAUCGGGUAAGACCGAUGCUUUUCUUGACUCUUCAAAGGUCUUGGAAUAAGGGGUGGGUAAGGACGGUGCCAGCCGCCGCGGUAAUACCGGCGCCUCAAGUGGUAGUCGCUUUUAUUGGGCCUAAAACGUCCGUAGCCGGUUUGGUACAUUCGUGGGUAAAUCAAGACGCUCAACGUCUUGAAUUCUGCGAGCACGGCCAGACUUGGGACCGGGUGAGGUGUGGGGUACUCUCAGGGUAGGGGUAAAAUCCUGUCAUCCUGAGAGGACCACCUGUUGCGAAGGCGCCACACUAGAACGGAUCCGACGGUCAGGGACGAAGCCUAGGGGCACGAACCGGAUUAGAUACCCGGGUAGUCCUAGGUGUAAACGCUGUGGACUUGAUGUUGGGAGUGCUCCGAGCACCCUCAGUGUCGAAGCGAAGGUGAUAAGUCCACUGCCUGGGGAGUACGGUCGCAAGGCUGAAACUUAAAGGAAUUGGCGGGGGAGCACUGCAACCUGAGGAUUGUGCGGUUUAAUUGGAUUCAACGCCGGAAAACUCACCAUAGCCGACGGACAUAUGAAGGCCAGCGUAACGAGCUUGCCGGAUUGUUCGAGAGGUAGUGCAUGGCCGUCGUCAGUUCGUACCGCAAGGCGUUCUGUUAAGUCAGAUAACGAACGAGACCCUCAUCCCUAUUUGCCAAGAUCUGUCCGCA